UGAGGCGCAGCCCAGCCGUAGCCGCAGUGGCCGAGCUACCUUGGUGAUAUCGGAGCGGCUGGGUAUGAAGCAAUUGUUCCCAAACUUUACUAGCCCCGUCGGCCCGGGCGCUCGUCGAGAAUGCAGGUUCCUGGGUAUUGCCAGAUACGGUUGGUGAUACUGUAGGGCUGGAGUGCAACCCAUGAAUCUGCAUUUUCAUCAUUUCUGCCGCUCGGCCCGGACGGGGGUGAUUCACGGGGAUUCGUGGUGGCCCCAAAGGAGCACGCAGAACUUCGGCUGCUGUGCAUUCGCCACCUCUUUUGUUCCCGCAGGCCUUACCCCGGGCCCAGUUUAUACAGCCGCCACCUUCUUUUCUUGGUUUCCCACUGGAAUUUGGGAAGAAAACUCGCCCUUUGUUUCUCCGCCCCACACCCGACGACGGAGUGUCUAGGAGCCUGGCCGGCCUCGGCUGUGCGGAGGGCUGAGCCUGACGAGCAGGCGCUGAUCCGGCGCAGACCCCGCCAGACUUCUUGGGUGGCCCGGAGUAGUCUGGGGAGCCGCAGGAGGAACCAUGAUCAUCCUGUCCUGAAGGGAGUUCCUCCUAGGUCUGGUCAGACCUUCGUAUGAAUUGAGCAUACCACAAAAAAGUUCUCAUUUUGUGUCCUCCCAUCCCAUUCUCCUCGUUAACCAAAGGACCAGCAAUGCUUCUUCACCUAGAGGCACUUCCCCCAGCAGUGGCAGUUGGUUCUAGCCUUCAGCUUCUUUCAGCAGUACCGGAAUCAGCCUCAGUGAUUCUGCCUUUACCCGCUCAGAGAUUACCAACAGCAGCCAGAUGGUUCUACCUUCCACAAAGAUUGUGGUUGCAAUUCCGGGCUUCUAAGUUCUGGUUACUUCAUAUUUUUCCUUUUGUUCCUCCAGCCCUAGAGGUGGUAGCUGCUUCCUGAAGUUAUUAUUUCUAGAGGACUUUUGCUUUUUCAGCCUUUGUAUCAUGCUUUUUCAGCCCUCUAAUGCCUGUGUAACCAAUU